rnacentral:lncRNA from 1 species
AAAGACUUUGGUGUGCAAGAGUCGCAUACGAAUAUACAUCUAACAUUGAAACAAUGCAAGAGGUGGUUUCUCUGAAAGCAAAGAGGGCAUUGGUUUACAAAGCUUAAGUAUAGAAAUCACUAAAGAAAUAUAUUAUUGCCCCUUCCUUAAAUUAUGCAAGCACUUGGUAUAUUCUUUUUAGAUGACGAUGCUAGCAUAGGUUUUCAUGGUCCAAAUUUUGUGUUGCUGAGUGGUGUCAGUAUAGGCAUAUCUUUUUGCCUGCUUAAAACUUCAUGACAUUAAGAAAUUGUUUUCAUAAUAAGCCUACGAAGCUUAAAUUACGCAUCUUACUGAGAGGAAUAGGCAUAGAAAAACUAUCUACAACAGAUAACUAAAGCAUCGGUUGUUUUCUAUUAUACAAUCGCCAACCUCACAACGGGGCUGUGAAUUCUCGUACUCAGUGUAAUCUGAUGAGAAGUGGCUAAAGGCCUCUUCCAUGCCUGGCACUUCCUCCUGCAUCAAAUAUUCAGAACAGCUUCAGUGUAUACCAAGGAAAUCUCUGGUCAAAAGAAUGCUUGUCUAUUUUCCAGAAAGGAAGCUACCUUAGGCAGCUGGUCUUCAGAUUGGUUUUUGUUGGAGUAUUCUUCAUCCAGAGAAAACUUGGCAUGUAUUCUGCCCAUAGGCAACCACCAAAUAUGUGCAUGAAACGAAAGUCACACGAAACUGAAAAAUAACACGACCCUUGGACAAACCCGGCACAAUGAGACAAUCAAUAAAUGAACAGUAUGCAGGAAAAGAUAAAUACAUCUUGAGCCAAAAAGAAAGCACAUGCGGUGGAAAAGGAGAGAAAACCUUGAGCGGCAGUAGCAAGUUGCAGGUGCAGAUGCAGAAACAGAGCAACUCUUCAAACCUGCAAAAUAAACCUAGAUAGAUCCAUAAGAACAUAAGCAUAGCAACGCAGGCACAGAAACCAGCAAAACACACAUAAAACAGAGCCCAUUCAACAGAUGCAGAGCAACAGAACGACACCAUAAAUAUUCACAGCUCAUUAUAUUAGGCCACCAUAUAUUAUAUCUAGAGCAUCUUUUUCCUGAAAUUCACAAAAGCUUUUAGCUUGCUAGCGCUAUGACCAUCUUCCCCUCAUCUAGAAACCUAAUAAGAUGCUUAUGAAUGAACCUCAUAUGAUGUGCUUUCAGCUAAAUUAAUAGACACAAGAAGCAUAAAGCCUCUAACCACCCCAACAACAAAAAUAUGAUUGUAAGACAGUCUAGAAAAGAGAAUAGAACACACCAUACCAAUAUCAUCCUUAGCACACAGACUCGUAGCACAUGCAUAUCUAUGCACCAACGAAAGAAAGAAGGCAAGGAGCAGCACAUUACUAGUAUUAAGAACCACAACCAGGAUAGUGGCGAGCAAACGAAGUGGAACAUCAGACGAACAAUCUGAGAAGAAACAUAGUCAGGUCACCACAGAGGCAUUCUACCGAACACAUUGCAUGCACGCAAACGGAAGGAAGAUGAACCUCAAUGCAGACGGCAGAAUGGUGCGCCGGCUGGCGCAGGAGAUAGCACAGAGAGGAUCUCAGUUGCACAUGUAGCACAGAAAAGGAAGAACACCAAGGUAAGCGAGGUGCAACUCGGAGAACAAACACG